rnacentral:rRNA from 1 species
CCUACGGGAGGCAGCAGUGAGGAAUAUUGGUCAAUGGACGAGAGUCUGAACCAGCCAAGUCGCGUGAAGGAUGACGGCCCUCUGGGUUGUAAACUUCUUUUGUAAAGGAAUAAAACGAGGCACGUGUGCCUUUUUGCGUGUACUUUAUGAAUAAGGAUCGGCUAACUCCGUGCCAGCAGCCGCGGUAAUACGGAGGAUCCGAGCGUUAUCCGGAUUUAUUGGGUUUAAAGGGAGCGUAGAUGGGUUGGUAAGGCAGUUGUGAAAGUUUGCGGCUCAACCGUAAAAGUGCAAUUGAUACUGGCAGUCUUGAGUACAGUUGAGGUAGGCGGAAUUCGUGGGGUAGCGGUGAAAUGCGUAGAUAUCACGAAGAACCCCGAUUGCGAAGGCAGCUUACUAAACUGUGACUGACAUUGAUGCUCGAAAGUGUGGGUAUCAAACAGGAUUAGAUACCCGAGUAGUC